ensembl:lncRNA
UCCAGUCUCAUUACAUUUUAAUGACCAAAAACAGGACAUUUCUACCUUUAGAUUUUGUGGCAUAGAGAAAGUAAAGAUAUCAGACAGGGGAGGGGAUAUACAGUAAACAACACUCUGAGCAAAAUAUGUUUUUGGAUUUUCACCCUCCAGACAUUAUUCCUAAAAGGUCUUUAUGAUGAAAUUCCAAUGCAUGGUACUUGAAUAUGAACAUGAACUAAUGCCACCACUUCAACCUACUCUGGCAUUUUUUUCUUGCACUGUAUGUACUGUACACAAGGAAAACUUACUUGAUAGAUUGAUUUCCUCAUUGUGGUUUUACAUAAGUGUUUAAUACAUUUUAUGUACACACUUUAUUAGAAUACUUAUGAAAUGAACAUUGUUAUAUUUGGUAUCACGUUUAUUUCCCCUUGACUCCAACCUCAUUUGCUGCAUUGAAAGGAUGUGGGUGGAGCAAUGUCUACAUAAGGGAGCAAAUGAAAAACACUCAUUAAAGCUCUGAUGAAGACCUCGAGGACGAUACGUUAAGCUUAAUAAAAUGCAGCGAUACUACCAAGAGCAGUGUGCGGGUUUCUUCUUUUCUCUCUCAUGUUAUUCAGUUGUUACCAUGCACCUGCUACAAAGAUAGCUCAGAUGUGCCUUUUGAAUGGAGGUCAUAAUAAUAGAAUCCGAUAUAGAACUCAACUCCUUUAUAGAAAAUAUAUAAAUAUUACAUCACAGAUUAAUGUUCAGAUAUAUUUGAGAAAAAAGUCAAAUUCAGGUGACAAAAUUCUAUUGUGAAAACAGAUAUGCUUAGAUAUAUACCAGAUGGUAAUUUGAAGGAAUUUGACAAAGACAAUUUUAAUAUUAAGGUAUUAAAACAAAUACACAUGCACCACUGUUGUUAGUAAUAACAUAUCUCAGUACUGCAGAGCUCUCUCUUAGUAAUAAAACAUCUCAGUACUGCAGAGCUCUCUCUCUUUACAAGGCAGAUGAGAAUGAGCUCUACCCCUCAGGCCUGGUUCCUCUCAACCAAUAUCCUCUCCCUACAGUAUACCUUGCUUGGGGGUGGGGGGGGUGCAUAAAUGACUCUGUCCCAAUACUUUUGUAGCUUUGUACUUCAUCUGAUUGAAUGCAAGUUAAUAUGUGCAACGUUUGCUUGUUUUCCCUCAUUUUAAAUGUACAUUUCAUUUAAAACAUCUCCAACAGUUCAAACAUGUUUCUCUCUUCUUGGUCAUUUGUCUCAAUGUAACAGAUAUGGAAUCAUGUAGUGAGAGCCUUCAAACCCCAUGUUUCUGCUCCUCAGUUACUCCACCAGGAAGACCACCA